rnacentral:rRNA from 1 species
AUGAACGCUGGCGGCGUGCCUAAUACAUGCAAGUCGAGCGAACAGACGAGGAGCUUGCUCCUCUGACGUUAGCGGCGGACGGGUGAGUAACACGUGGAUAACCUACCUAUAAGACUGGGAUAACUUCGGGAAACCGGAGCUAAUACCGGAUAAUAUAUUGAACCGCAUGGUUCAAUAGUGAAAGACGGUUUUGCUGACACUUAUAGAUGGAUCCGCGCCGCAUUAGCUAGUUGGUAAGGUAACGGCUUACCAAGGCAACGAUGCGUAGCCGACCUGAGAGGGUGAUCGGCCACACUGGAACUGAGACACGGUCCAGACUCCUACGGGAGGCAGCAGUAGGGAAUCUUCCGCAAUGGGCGAAAGCCUGACGGAGCAACGCCGCGUGAGUGAUGAAGGUCUUCGGAUCGUAAAACUCUGUUAUUAGGGAAGAACAAAUGUGUAAGUAACUAUGCACGUCUUGACGGUACCUAAUCAGAAAGCCACGGCUAACUACGUG